rnacentral:rRNA from 1 species
GAGGCAGCAGUGGGGAAUUUUGCGCAAUGGGCGAAAGCCUGACGCAGCAACGCCGCGUGGAGGAUGAAGGUUUUCGGAUCGUAAACUCCUGUCAGGGGGGAAGAACACCCGAAAGGGUUUGACUGUACCCUCUGAGGAAGCCACGGCUAACUCCGUGCCAGCAGCCGCGGUAAUACGGAGGUGGCAAGCGUUGUUCGGAAUUACUGGGCGUAAAGGGCGCGUAGGCGGUUUGGCAAGUCAGAUGUGAAAUCCCCGAGCUUAACUCGGGAAUUGCAUCUGAAACUGCUUUACUUGAGUCCUGGAGGGGGUAGUGGAAUUCCCAGUGUAGCGGUGAAAUGCGUAGAUAUUGGGAGGAACACCUGUGGCGAAGGCGGCUACCUGGACAGUGACUGACGCUGAGGCGCGAAAGCUAGGGGAGCGAACGGGAUUAGAUACCCCGGUAGUCCUAGCCGUAAACGAUGGGCACUUGGUGUUGGGGGUAUUGAGUCCCUCGGUGCCGGAGUUAACACGUUAAGUGCCCCGCCUGGGGAGUACGGUCGCAAGACUGAAACUCAAAGGAAUUGACGG